rnacentral:rRNA from 1 species
UAAAUACGGCGUGGAUAGAGCACGGAAAAGCUGUGUAUAACACAGACAAGUGGGGUCACCGCUGCCCGUUGGCAUGGGGAGUAGGGGUAAGUGGGCCCAUAACCAUGGGCCUCACCUCAUGAACGGCUCUCAAAGUACUUCCGGGACUAAACACCCCGGGGCGAAACAGAGGCCUCUGCUACCGGACAGAGUCACCGAGUGCCCUGCGGGGUUGGUCUUGUCUGGGUAUCUGGCAGAGCCCAUCCACAAGCGCACGAUGGACUUCAGACCUAUCAGCUAGACGGUAGGGUAUUGGCCUACCGUGGCGAUGACGGGUACAGAGGAUUAGGGUUUGAUCCUGGAGAGGUAGCCUGAGAAAUCGCUCCCACUUCUAAGGAAGGCAGCAGGCGCGUAACGUUCCCAAUGCUAGGACCCCUAGUGAGGACGUAAUGGGACAUAACAAUACCCCUAUUGGAUAGUGGGUAAUUGACAAUGGGGCGGGCAUAAACACCCUGCCGAGAAGCAACUGGAGGACAAGUCCGGUGCCAGCACCCGCGGUAAUUCCGGCUCCAGUAGUGUAUAGUUAAGUUGCUGCGGUUAAAACGCUCGUAGUCAAACAUCUGGAGUUAGCGCCUCGUCAGGGCCCGGGCGGGAUCAGGCUGCCCUGCUGCGUUUCAGGCGCGCGCUUGACUGGGGGAGAACGUGGGUUUCACUUUUCCCCACGCCCUGGAGCGGCGACGUGCUAUUUACACAUGUCUCGCGGCGGAGGAGAGGCCAUGAACCCAUCACCCGGGUUUCUGCUGGGGAUUUACCCCUGGGUGCGCUCCACGGAUCAGUAGUCGCUCGACUGCGGGGCGGCGGGCUGCAGUCCAUUCCCUCGCCCCACUACCAACGGUGAACGCUAGGAACGCCUGGUACUAAGUGUGGGGAACUCUGGGGGCGUGAUGCACGGGCCCAAAGUCCGGGUUCAGCGACUAGGUGGGCAGGCCAUCGACCGGAAACCGACUCGCCCUCCUCAUCGUGGGCAGAAGGGGACCGGGAGCGGUGCCAAGUGCCUAGAGCCCAUCGGUCCAGAAACUUUGAGCAAACUCAAACGCUUCAGGUGCGCCCGUAAUGGGUCGCUCCAGACAGUAGCAAAGUAUUUCAGAUGCCGUGGGGUUGGGAGUAGCUCCCGGGCACUCCCCCCCAUUAUGCCCUUCUUGGCACAAAGCCGAGACAGGUGGCGACUGUACGGGAUGUGGUGCGUAGAUUAAUGGGGGUAACCGGGGCCGGCCACAUGGCGGGGGUAGAGGUGAAAUUCGUUGAUCCUCGCUAGGUGAACAAAGGCGAAAGCAGCCGGCCAGAGUACUUUCCUUGAUCAAGAACGAAAGCCUGGGGAGCGAAUGUGAUCAGAUACCACAGUAGUCCAGGCCUUAAACGUUGCCAGCUGGAGACGGGCCUAGGUCAGUGCAGACUUGGCCCGGAUCCUGCGGGAAACCAAAGCGUAUGGGCUCCGGGGGGAGUAUGGUCGCAAGGCUGAAACUUAAAGGCAUUGACGGAAGAGCACACAAGGAGUGGAGCCUGCGGCUUAAAUUGACUCAACACGGGGAAUCUCACGGACGCACAAAUAGGUAAUGAAGGACAGUUUGCAGGGCUUUCUGGAUCUGCCUAUAACGGUGGUGCAUGGCCGUUCGUAGUUCGUGGAUUGGUCCGUCUGGUUAAUUCCGAUAACGAGCGAGAACCCGGCUUCCAUGUUAGGGACUAAUUGGGCUGGCGGGGGGCAGCUGUGCCGGUCACGGUCCUGAGCGGUGGGGGGGCAAGGCUUCGCGGCCCCAGAACCCCGCCCCAAGGGGUCGGCGUCUGGCACAGUAGCACAAGGGGUCCGGCCAUUUUCUAUUUGGGUUUUGGCCGGGCUUUCUAACGGUGCCCCUUGCUGCGUGCAUGAGGGGCUUGGUGGGGGAAACUCUUUCUCGCGGGGGAGCGGACUUCACUGGGCUGGGCGUGCUAGUGUAUGACCAAAAUUCCCCAUAACAUAGGGCAAUCCCUGCCGAUGAGGCACAGGGAUGGGUCAAUAACAGGUCAGUAAUGCCCCUAGAUGCGGUCCGGCUGCACGCGCGCUACAAUGGGGGGAGUCAAACCUGUGCGACCGAGAGGUCCCGUUAUUACAUGGGUGAAACCCCUCCUCGACUGGGAUUGUACCGUGUAAAGCCGGCCACUAACAAGGAAUUUCUAGUAUCCGCUGGUCACAACCCAGCAGAGAUUUCGUUACUGCUCUUUGUGCACACCGCCCGUCGCUCCUACCGAUUGGGCUGCGGCUUGAACUGCUUGGGAAUGCCGGUCCAUGCCCCCCAGCUCUCACGGGCUGGCCCUGCACCCGGUCCCACCUCGCACCCAACAAGUAGGUCCUCUCAUGUUCCCGGUGAGCCACCCUCUGGCCCGGGUUUUUCGAUCUGAUACCUCGGGGUCUCUUAUAGCAAAGUUCCGGCACCUGGUGCCGAUCUCGCUGAGACAAACGUGGUCCCUGAGAUAGGAGGCAUGAUGACUGAACUUGGCUGGUCCAUGUGCCUGUGCUCUGUGCCACACGGUUAACAAUGUUAAUACGCGGCAAUGGGCAACUGUGCACCUGCGAUUUGGUCUGUUGCGAGGGGUUUAUGACCGGGUUGGUUUGUUCCCACAAACACAGGGAUGGACUUUCUCAGGGCAGUAAAGGCCUCGGUCUA